rnacentral:rRNA from 1 species
UGGGGAAUAUUGCACAAUGGGCGCAAGCCUGAUGCAGCCAUGCCGCGUGUAUGAAGAAGGCCUUCGGGUUGUAAAGUACUUUCAGUCGGGAGGAAGGUGUCAAGGUUAAUAACCUUGGCAAUUGACGUUACCGACAGAAGAAGCACCGGCUAACUCCGUGCCAGCAGCCGCGGUAAUACGGAGGGUGCAAGUGUUAAUCGGAAUUACUGGGCGUAAAGCGCACGCAGGCGGUUUGUUAAGUCAGAUGUGAAAUCCCCGGGCUCAACCUGGGAACUGCAUCUGAUACUGGCAAGCUUGAGUCUCGUAGAGGGGGGUAGAAUUCCAGGUGUAGCGGUGAAGUGCGUAGAGAUCUGGAGGAAUACCGGUGGCGAAGGCGGCCCCCUGGACAAAGACUGACGCUCAGGUGCGAAAGCGUGGGGAGCAAACAGG